rnacentral:rRNA from 1 species
GAAAGAGUGCGUAAUAGCUCACUGGUCGAGUGACCCCGCGCCGAAAAUGUACCGGGGCUAAACAUAUUACCGAAACUGUGGAUGAACCUCUUUAGAGGUUCGUGGUAGGAGAGCGUUCUAAGGGCGGUGAAGUCAGACCGGAAGGACUGGUGGAGCGCUUAGAAGUGAGAAUGCCGGUAUGAGUAGCGAAAGAAGGGUGAGAAUCCCUUCCACCGAAUAUCUAAGGUUUCCUGAGGAAGGCUCGUCCGCUCAGGGUUAGUCGGGACCUAAGCCGAGGCCGAUAGGCGUAGGCGAUGGACAACAGGUAGAGAUUCCUGUACCAGUGCUAAUUGUUUAACCGAUGGGGUGACACAGAAGGAUAGGGAAUCGCACGAAUGGAAAUGUGCGUCCAAGCAGUGAGUGUGAGAAGUAGGCAAAUCCGCUUCUCGCGAAGCAUGAGCUGUGAUGGGGAAGGAAAUUAAGUACGGAAGUUCCUGAUUUCACGCUGUCAAGAAAAGCCUCUAGGAAGAGUAGUACUGCCCGUACCGCAAACCGACACAGGUAGAUGAGGAGAGAAU